AUUGAACGCUGGCGGCAUGCCUUACACAUGCAAGUCGAACGGCAGCACGGGGCAACCUGGUGGCGAGUGGCGAACGGGUGAGUAAUGCAUCGGAACGUACCUUUCAGUGGGGGAUAACGUAGCGAAAGUUACGCUAAUACCGCAUAUUCUGUGAGCAGGAAAGCAGGGGAUCGCAAGACCUUGCGCUGAUUGAGCGGCCGAUGUCAGAUUAGCUAGUUGGUGAGGUAAAGGCUCACCAAGGCGACGAUCUGUAGCGGGUAUGAGAGGAUGAUCCGCCAUACUGGAACUGAGACACGGUCCAGCCUCCUACGGGAGGCAGCAGUGGGGAAUUUUGGACAAUGGUGUCAUCCCUGAUCCAGCCAAGCCCCGUGAGUGAAGAAGGCCUUCGGGUUGUAAAGCUCUUUCUGCCGGGAAGAAAUCGCACGGGCUAAUACCCUGUGUGGAUGACGGUACCGGAAUAAGAAGCACCGGCUAACUACGUGCCAGCCGCCGCAGUAAAAC
rnacentral:rRNA from 1 species